rnacentral:misc_RNA from 1 species
UUUGCACUUUCGAGUUCCAGUCCUCUUCGAACAACGUUCCCUUAAAAACUUAAUUUUCGACUAAAAGUAUCUUCAGUUCCUUCGGAAAUGUUAAGGAGUUCGAUCACAAUAAACGAAAUGCCGUGUCGUACUGUAGCUCCGUAUAUUCUGAACGUCCGUUAGAACGGAGCUGUCACGGAGCUGCGCACGUGGUUUGCAAGGAGCGCGAAAGAACAACAAACCCCACAUAACACAAACCUGACGCCCCGAGGAGUCGCCAGCCACUGACUCUCCUUCCGAUUCGACUCGACUCGACUUGACUCGGCUCCGUUCGACUGGCCUCGCCCCGCUUCGCCUCGUUUCCCUCGCCACGCGCCGUCCCGCUCCGUCUCGUAUCGUCUCGUUUCGUCUCGUCUCGUAUCCUCUCGUGUCGUCUCGCUUGUCCCGUCCCGCUACGGCACGUCGCAACGCGCCGCGUCGUCGUGGUAAAGCGCGCACGUAGGCACGCGUUCGGCUAUGCUCGUCCCGAACCCGAGGCGACCCGAAGUGACCCGAGGCAACUCGUCACGAUUCCGACUACAACUUCGACUCCGAUUCGCGCUCGUUUCGAUCGUACUGUUGCCUCUUUGCCUGUUUUACACCGCCCGUAUGAUGCCAUCGACUGCUGCAAAGAGGUUCACGGAUUCAGAACCUGCAACCACUUGAACGGCACCAUUCGCACCCUUGAUGAUGAGUCGCGAACGCGACUUAAGCGGCUGCCGUGCAGCUGGCAGCAAAGCUUUUACACAGACGCAUUCGCGACACGUCGCCCGCACUCCCAACCUCCACCAACACUUGGCCGUUGCGUCAUCACGGUUUCACGGUGCGCUGGGAUUCGACGGGAGGAGAAGGCGCGCGAGCGCGCAAACGGGACCACUGCGAGAGCGACGCAUCUGUAUCGCUCCGCUUGCACUUAUUACAAAUCCGCCAGUGAUACUCAACCUAAUUUAAACUUCACGCGAGCGUGAUGUGUCGGCGCAACG